rnacentral:tRNA from 1 species
ACCGGGGUGGCUCAGUCGGUUAAGUGUCCGACUUCAGCUCGGGUCAUGAUCUCACCGUUUGUGGGUUCGAGCCCCAUAUCCGGCU